rnacentral:rRNA from 1 species
GGGUUGUGAGGUUAAGCGACUAAGCGUACACGGUGGAUGCCCUGGCAGUCAGAGGCGAUGAAGGACGUGCUAAUCUGCGAUAAGCGUCGGUAAGGUGAUAUGAACCGUUAUAACCGGCGAUUUCCGAAUGGGGAAACCCAGUGUGUUUCGACACACUAUCAUUAACUGAAUCCAUAGGUUAAUGAGGCGAACCGGGGGAACUGAAACAUCUAAGUACCCGAGGAAAAGAAAUCAACCGAGAUUCCCCCAGUAGCGGCGAGCGAACGGGGAGCAGCCCAGAGCCUGAAUCAGUGUGUGUGUUAGUGGAAGCGUCUGGAAAGGCGUGCGAUACAGGGUGACAGCCCCGUACACAAAAAUGCACAUGCUGUGAGCUCGAUGAGUAGGGCGGGACACGUGGUAUCCUGUCUGAAUAUGGGGGGACCAUCCUCCAAGGCUAAAUACUCCUGACUGACCGAUAGUGAACCAGUACCGUGAGGGAAAGGCGAAAAGAACCCCGGCGAGGGGAGUGAAAAAGAACCUGAAACCGUGUACGUACAAGCAGUGGGAGCACGCUUAGGCGUGUGACUGCGUACCUUUUGUAUAAUGGGUCAGCGACUUAUAUUCUGUAGCAAGGUUAACCGAAUAGGGGAGCCGAAGGGAAACCGAGUCUUAACUGGGCGUUAAGUUGCAGGGUAUAGACCCGAAACCCGGUGAUCUAGCCAUGGGCAGGUUGAAGGUUGGAUAACACUAACUGGAGGACCGAACCGACUAAUGUUGAAAAAUUAGCGGAUGACUUGUGGCUGGGGGUGAAAGGCCAAUCAAACCGGGAGAUAGCUGGUUCUCCCCGAAAGCUAUUUAGGUAGCGCCUCGUGAAUUCAUCUCCGGGGGUAGAGCACUGUUUCGGCAAGGGGGUCAUCCCGACUUACCAACCCGAUGCAAACUGCGAAUACCGGAGAAUGUUAUCACGGGAGACACACGGCGGGUGCUAACGUCCGUCGUGAAGAGGGAAACAACCCAGACCGCCAGCUAAGGUCCCAAAGUCAUGGUUAAGUGGGAAACGAUGUGGGAAGGCCCAGACAGCCAGGAUGUUGGCUUAGAAGCAGCCAUCAUUUAAAGAAAGCGUAAUAGCUCACUGGUCGAGUCGGCCUGCGCGGAAGAUGUAACGGGGCUAAACCAUGCACCGAAGCUGCGGCAGCGACGCUGAUGCGUUGUUGGGUAGGGGAGCGUUCUGUAAGCCUGCGAAGGUGUGCUGUGAGGCAUGCUGGAGGUAUCAGAAGUGCGAAUGCUGACAUAAGUAACGAUAAAGCGGGUGAAAAGCCCGCUCGCCGGAAGACCAAGGGUUCCUGUCCAACGUUAAUCGGGCAGGGUGAGUCGACCCUAAGGCGAGGCCGAAAGGCGUAGUCGAUGGGAAACAGGUUAAUAUUCCUGUACUUGGUGUUACUGCGAAGGGGGGACGGAGAAGGCUAUGUUGGCCGGGCGACGGUUGUCCCGGUUUAAGCGUGUAGGCUGGUUUUCCAGGCAAAUCCGGAAAAUCAAGGCUGAGGCGUGAUGACGAGGCACUACGGUGCUGAAGCAACAAAUGCCCUGCUUCCAGGAAAAGCCUCUAAGCAUCAGGUAACAUCAAAUCGUACCCCAAACCGACACAGGUGGUCAGGUAGAGAAUACCAAGGCGCUUGAGAGAACUCGGGUGAAGGAACUAGGCAAAAUGGUGCCGUAACUUCGGGAGAAGGCACGCUGAUAUGUAGGUGAAGUCCCUCGCGGAUGGAGCUGAAAUCAGUCGAAGAUACCAGCUGGCUGCAACUGUUUAUUAAAAACACAGCACUGUGCAAACACGAAAGUGGACGUAUACGGUGUGACGCCUGCCCGGUGCCGGAAGGUUAAUUGAUGGGGUCAGCGCAAGCGAAGCUCUUGAUCGAAGCCCCGGUAAACGGCGGCCGUAACUAUAACGGUCCUAAGGUAGCGAAAUUCCUUGUCGGGUAAGUUCCGACCUGCACGAAUGGCGUAAUGAUGGCCAGGCUGUCUCCACCCGAGACUCAGUGAAAUUGAACUCGCUGUGAAGAUGCAGUGUACCCGCGGCAAGACGGAAAGACCCCGUGAACCUUUACUAUAGCUUGACACUGAACAUUGAGCCUUGAUGUGUAGGAUAGGUGGGAGGCUUUGAAGUGUGGACGCCAGUCUGCAUGGAGCCGACCUUGAAAUACCACCCUUUAAUGUUUGAUGUUCUAACGUGGACCCGUGAUCCGGGUUGCGGACAGUGUCUGGUGGGUAGUUUGACUGGGGCGGUCUCCUCCUAAAGAGUAACGGAGGAGCACGAAGGUUGGCUAAUCCUGGUCGGACAUCAGGAGGUUAGUGCAAUGGCAUAAGCCAGCUUGACUGCGAGCGUGACGGCGCGAGCAGGUGCGAAAGCAGGUCAUAGUGAUCCGGUGGUUCUGAAUGGAAGGGCCAUCGCUCAACGGAUAAAAGGUACUCCGGGGAUAACAGGCUGAUACCGCCCAAGAGUUCAUAUCGACGGCGGUGUUUGGCACCUCGAUGUCGGCUCAUCACAUCCUGGGGCUGAAGUAGGUCCCAAGGGUAUGGCUGUUCGCCAUUUAAAGUGGUACGCGAGCUGGGUUUAGAACGUCGUGAGACAGUUCGGUCCCUAUCUGCCGUGGGCGCUGGAGAACUGAGGGGGGCUGCUCCUAGUACGAGAGGACCGGAGUGGACGCAUCACUGGUGUUCGGGUUGUCAUGCCAAUGGCACUGCCCGGUAGCUAAAUGCGGAAGAGAUAAGUGCUGAAAGCAUCUAAGCACGAAACUUGCCCCGAGAUGAGUUCUCCCUGACUCCUUGAGAGUCCUGAAGGAACGUUGAAGACGACGACGUUGAUAGGCCGGGUGUGUAAGCGCAGCGAUGCGUUGAGCUAACCGGUACUAAUGAACCGUGAGGCUUAACCUUACAACGCCGAAGGUGUUU